rnacentral:rRNA from 1 species
GUGGGGAAUCUUGCGCAAUGGGCGAAAGCCUGACGCAGCAACGCCGCGUGGGGGAUGACGGCCUUCGGGUUGUAAACCUCUUUCGACCGGGACGAAGGAUUCGUUUGACGGUACCGGUAGAAGAAGCACCGGCUAACUACGUGCCAGCAGCCGCGGUAAUACGUAGGGUGCGAGCGUUGUCCGGAAUUAUUGGGCGUAAAGAGCUCGUAGGCGGUUUGUCGCGUCGGCCGUGAAAUCCUGCCGCUUAACGGUGGGCGUGCGGUCGAUACGGGCAGACUUGAGUUCGGUAGGGGAGACUGGAAUUCCUGGUGUAGCGGUGAAAUGCGCAGAUAUCAGGAGGAACACCGGUGGCGAAGGCGGGUCUCUGGGCCGAUACUGACGCUGAGGAGCGAAAGCGUGGGGAGCGAACAGGAUUAGAAACCCCAGUAGUCC